rnacentral:rRNA from 2 species
AAAUUGAAGAGUUUGAUCAUGGCUCAGAUUGAACGCUGGCGGCAGGCCUAACACAUGCAAGUCGAACGGUAACAGGAAGCAGCUUGCUGCUUUGCUGACGAGUGGCGGACGGGUGAGUAAUGUCUGGGAAACUGCCUGAUGGAGGGGGAUAACUACUGGAAACGGUAGCUAAUACCGCAUAACGUCGCAAGACCAAAGAGGGGGACCUUCGGGCCUCUUGCCAUCGGAUGUGCCCAGAUGGGAUUAGCUAGUAGGUGGGGUAACGGCUCACCUAGGCGACGAUCCCUAGCUGGUCUGAGAGGAUGACCAGCCACACUGGAACUGAGACACGGUCCAGACU